CCCAGUUAGUAUUGGAUAACUUUUUUGUGUCAACAAAUAAUAUUAUCAUUUUAAAACUGUAUUUUGCAUUUACUCAGGGGUGUUUUUUUUUUAUCUUAGAUUUUGUUUUAAUUCUGAAGAAAUUUGGUCUGAGAUAUACACAAAAACAUAAGAAAUCAGGAUGGGGCCAAUACUUUUUCACAGUACUGUAUUUAUUUGUUUAUUUAUUCAAAUAUAAAAUACUCAAAUUAACACAAACUAUUCAUAUUAUUAGUAAUUAUAACAAAUAAUUACAUUAUUUACAACAUUAAAUUGAUAUUAAAUACAUAGAGUCAAAAUGCGAUGUGACUGUGAUUAACAGAUACAGAGCUGCACUCAACACUGAUUCUCUGUAAUAUUUAUGCAAAUCUCCACCUCCUCUUGUAAUAUUAGCACCGUGCUUAUCUAGAGAGGAAGCGGUUCUCAUUAAUCCUCCUUCAACACAAACAUGUUUGCUUCAGCUCCACUGCUGCUGCUGGCUCUCGCCCCCUAUGUGUUCUGUGCUACUGAGCUCAUCCAGCCAGACUCAGUGGUUAUAAAGCCAGGAGAGACUUUAACCAUCACCUGUAGAGUGUCUGGAGCUUCUAUCACUGAUAGCAGCAGCCACUAUGGAACAGCUUGGAUUCGACAACCUGCAGGAAAAGCUUUAGAAUGGAUCAACAGCAUUUAUUAUAAUGGGGAUAUUUAUAAGAAAGAUUCACUUAAAGACAAGUUUGUUGUCUCUCGAGACACUUCCAGUAACACUCUGACCUUACGGGGACAGAACAUGCAGACUGAAGACACAGCUGUGUAUUACUGCGCUCGUGAUCCACACUCACACGACAAGCUGCAGCGCUGCACAAAAACAUCAUAUUCAUAACAAUUUAGUUCUAUAUUUAAAUAAUAACUAGCUACAUUUAACUGACUGAGUAAUGUCCACAUCACACCUCAAUGCCUAGAUAUAUGGAUAUAUUUCAAUCAUGAAUGUACAGAAAAUAAAGUAAUUAUAAAAAGUUAUAUGUA